CCUGAUCCAGCAAUGCCGCGUGUGUGAAGAAGGCCUUCGGGUUGUAAAGCACUUUUGUCCGGAAAGAAAUCCUUGGCUCUAAUACAGUCGGGGGAUGACGGUACCGGAAGAAUAAGCACCGGCUAACUACGUGCCAGCAGCCGCGGUAAUACGUAGGGUGCGAGCGUUAAUCGGAAUUACUGGGCGUAAAGCGUGCGCAGGCGGUUUGCUAAGACCGAUGUGAAAUCCCCGGGCUCAACCUGGGAACUGCAUUGGUGACUGGCAGGCUAGAGUAUGGCAGAGGGGGGUAGAAUUCCACGUGUAGCAGUGAAAUGCGUAGAGAUGUGGAGGAAUACCGAUGGCGAAGGCAGCCCCCUGGGCCAAUACUGACGCUCAUGCACGAAAGCGUGGGGAGCAAACAGGAUUAGAUACCCUGGUAGUCCACGCCCUAAACGAUGUCAACUAGUUGUUGGGGAUUCAUUUCCUUAGUAACGUAGCUAACGCGUGAAGUUGACCGCCUGGGGAGUACGGUCGCAAGAUUAAAACUCAAAGGAAUUGACGGGGACCCGCACAAGCGGUGGAUGAUGUGGAUUAAUUCGAUGCAACGCGAAAAACCUUACCUACCCUUGACAUGGUCGGAAUCCUGCUGAGAGG
rnacentral:rRNA from 30 species